CACGAGGGUCUCACAGUCUUAAGGAAAUUUCCAGUGAAAUUGAAUUUGUAGUGAAGAUGCUACAUCCAAAUUGUUAGACAAGAAGUCCCCAUGGAACUUUACUGGAGACUUAUGUGGCUUAAAUUAAUUUAUUUCUUACAAAUAAAUAGUUUUAAAAUGUGGUGUUAACCCCUCGGAUUAACUAGGGUUAUAAAAGCUCACUCUUUUAUUUAAAGAAAGCCAACUCAAAAAGUUAUGUCUUUGGGAUUUGAUAAGUGGGACAGUUUGGUUGGGGCGACCGCCUUUAAAAAAGUAACGAAGGCGGGCUUAAGAUACAUAUUUAGUGAUGUCUGACUGCCAAGGGGAGAUCCUGAGCAGACACUUACUUUUUAGGUGGGUUUAAGUGACCCGUUGAUUUAGGGUGAAAUAGUUAACGAUAAACA
rnacentral:rRNA from 1 species